rnacentral:rRNA from 1 species
AUUGAACGCUGGCGGCAGGCCUAACACAUGCAAGUCGAACGAGUGGCGGACGGGUGAGUAAUGUCUGGGAAACUGCCAGAUGGAGGGGGAUAACUACUGGAAAAGGUAGCUAAUACCGCAUACCAUCGGAUGUGCCCAGAUGGGAUUGGCUAGUAGGUGGGGUAAAGGCUCACCUAGGCGACGAUCCCUAGCUGGUCUCAGAGGAUGACCAGCUACACUGGAACUGGGAGACGGUCCAGACUCCUACGUGAGGCAGCAGUGGGUAAUAGUGCACAAUGGGCGCAAGCAUGAUGCAGCCAUGCCGAGUGUAUGAAGAAGGCCUUCGGGUUGUAAAGUACUUUCAGCGAGGAGGCGUUACUCGCAGAAGAAGCACCGGCUAACUCCGUGCCAGCAGCCGCGGUAAUUC